rnacentral:lncRNA from 1 species
AGAUUUAAAGCAAUAAUUGACUAAAGAUGUAAAAACUAAACACUGGUCUCACUUCCAAAAAGAUGAUGGAUGUCUAUGGGGGAAUAAAAGAAAUAAUUUUCUAUGUACCAUUUUAAAGGGGGUUGAGGGAAAAUUUUGGAAAGAUAAGGCCUCAGGCUAAUGGAAGAUAAUUGACAUUUUCUUUUAGGAGUUGUUAAUUAAAACAACAUUAAAUAUUCCCCUACAAUCUUUUGUCAGUCAAUAAGAUAGGCCAGUGGAACUGCCACUGAGGGGCCCAUCAAAGCCUAUAAUAUUCUCUCAGAGUAGCUAAUUAUAGCCAUUUUAAAAGGUUUCCAAUGCACUCACCAACAUCUUUUUAAGAAUUCACUUCUAUAAAACAUUCAAAUGUUAACAACCUGCCAUAGAGAAGAUACCAUGUAGAAGCAUUCAAUCAACAUCUUAGAGCAAUGUCCAGUCAUCAUAAUUUUAUAUAGGUCAAACCCUGUUUUUAAAAGGCCUAUAAAGAGAUCCAAUUAUAUAUAAACAUAUAAUAUAUGACAAAGCAAGCAUCAUGAAACAAUGGGAAGGGAAAAUUAAACAAUGCUGGGAAAAGAGUUUAGCAUUUCACUUGAAAUAGAAUGCUUUAUAUCAUAUACUUUAUACCAUAUACCUGAAUAAAUUUUUACAGGUGAAGAAAAAUACUUAAUAGAAUAUACAAUAUUGAUUGGGUCAUGGAUAACUGUGAAAUUUCUAAGACUUUAAAAAAAUAAAAAAGGACAAAGUCAAUCUUUCUACAUAAAGUUAAAUUUCUUUUCUUUUUCCUUUUUUUCUUUUUUUAAUGGCUGGCUGCACCUGGGGCAUGUGGGAGUUCUCUGGCUAGGAGUCGAAUCAGAGCUGCAACUGCUGGCCUACACCACAGCCACAGCAAUGCUGGAACUGAGCCAUAUCUGUGGCUGACACCACAACCUGUGUCAAUGCUGGAUCCUAAACCCACUGAAUGAAGCCAGGGAUUGGACCCACAUCCUCAUGGACACUAUGUCAGGUUCUUAACACAAAGAGCCACAAUGGGAACUCCAAAGUUAAAUUUCUAAGAAAGAAAAAUUGAAAUAUAAGAAAAUUAACAGAAAAGCUUAAUCAUUUACACAAGAAGAUUCACGGAGCCCCCGUCGUGGCUCAGUGGUUAACAAAUCUGACUAGGAACCAUGAUUCAUGAUUCCUGGCCUUGUUCAGUGGGUUAAGGAUCUGACAUUGCCGUGAGCUGUGGUGUGGGUUGCAGAUGCGGCUGCAAUCCCACGUUGCUGUGGCUCUGGCGUAGGCCGGGAGCUACAGCUUCAAUUGGACACCUAGCCUAGGAAUCUCCAUGUGCCACAGGUGCAUCCAUAGAAAAGGCAAAAAGACCAAAAAAAGUUAAAAAAAAGAAGAUUUACAACUGAAUUAUUGGAAAUGAUGAACCUGGCAUCUCAAACAGAAGUCCAUACUAACCUGAGCCAUUGGCUGAUACUAAUGAGAGGAAGACAAAUGCAUGAUGAUAGUAACUCAAUUAUAGAAAGCAAUUUAAACACAACACACUCAUGAACUGCUGCUGACAAAUUGUACAACCCUUUAGAAGAUUUGGCUUUACAGUUCAGGUGUCAUAAAACUUUUCAAAAUCCUUUGACCAAGUCACCUCACAUACAGAAAUCUAUCCUACAAGAAGGAUACUGAGAUAAAUAUAUAAAUAAAUAUAAAUGUGCUUACAAGGGAGAUUUUAUAGUGGAGUUUACAAAAAAGAAAAAGAGAAAUAGACAGGUCUAUCAAGGGGGCUUGGUUAAACAAAUUAUCAAUACAUAUAACAAAUGAAAAAAUAUCAGUGAAGAAUAACCACGAGGAGAAACACUCAUGAUCUAAUGUUAAUAAAAAAAUACAAAGUGGAAAAAUAAACACAAUCAGUCUUGGAAAAAAUACAGAAAAAGUGUCCAUUUCUUAAAAUGACAGGAUUCUGAUGCUGGUUACCCAUUUUCAAAUCUAUUACUGCGACAACUUUAUAUGAGUGAAACAUGCAUAAGGAGUUUUCAUUAGAGGAGAUUUUAUUUUAAUUAAAAUCUUGCUGAAAAUGUCUCUAGUGUGCUGGGGUCACUGUAAAACAGAAGGGCAGAGUUCUAGGUUUCUUACAGCCAAAAUUAGUAGUAUAGAAAUUGAAAUAUUUGGUGUGGGGUAUUGUUUAUUAGGUAAUAAGUUGUUCUUUGCUGGACCAACUGCCAGCUUUAAAUCUCCUGACUAAUUUGUUGUGAAUGGAAUAUAUAACAAAUUACAUGCAAAAAGUGUACAAUCAGAUACUUUUAGUGUAGGAAAGGAGAUGUAAUUUUAUUGGUAUAACUAAUGUAUUUAUCCUUAAAAAUCUAUAACUCCAGGCUAUCCAUGUAGUCAUAGACAGAAACAUAGAGACAUAGCAUCUUCCAAACACAUCCUAUGUUGUUUGAGAUAGAUUUUUAUUCAUAUAAAUUGAAGAAUGUUUGCCAUAUUUUCCUUAUUUCUAGAAUAGAUUGAGUCAUGAUACUAGUUAACAUUACAUAUUUAAUGUAAAUAGGCCUCUGUUAUAAAUGAUAUAGUAUAUAUCAAGUAUUUAUCAGUCACUAUUAAUAUCCAUUUUACAGGUGAGGAAAUUGAGGCACAGAGAAAUUAAACUACACAGCUUUAAAGAAACGGAACUGAAAAUCCAUUUAGUCUUAUAUCUUCACAGCUAAUACCCUGUAAAAGACCAUGCUCUUCUUCUUCAGUGAGGUGUUAUUUGGAACUACAUGAUAUAGCUUAUCUAUAAUCCAUAAAGACUAGGAUUUGAUUUAUAAAAUGGUUAAUUUUGUCUUUGUGAACACUUUAAGGAGACAUUAUUGAAUUACACCGUCCCUCACUCACUUAGUACAGAAUAUUAACAACCAAAGCCUCUGUUGAGCAUGAAUUGCAACUGUAUCAAUUUCCUACUGCCUCUUGGUCUAACAGCAUCAGUAGGAUGAUGGAAAGUAUCUUGAGGCUUAAUAUUCUCUCCAUCGUCGAUUGCAUAAAUACUACAGACAACACAAACUUUCUAAAAUUCAGUUUACUUACUUGGAAGGUGGGACAAUAACAUUUCAAAAUUGUAGCUUUAUAGGGAGGAUUAAAUUAGAUAAUACAGUUGACCUUGGACAAUACAGGGGUUAGGGGUUCCGACACUCUGUCCGGUUGAAAAUCUGCAUAUAACUUCAUAGCUGGUUCUCCCUACCUGCAGUACCUCCAUACCUAGAGUUCAAAUCUACAGAGUCAACCAACCUCUGAUCAAGCAGUACUAUGACAGUAUUUAUGGGGAAAAAAAUCCACAUCCAAGUGCACCUGUGCAGUUAAAAUCCAUGUUGUUCAACGGGCACCUGUAUAUGUAAAGUGCUUUCCUUAGCAUCUGCACAUAGUAAGCACUCUCUAUUUAAUGAAGAAAUGUGAACAUUUUUCUUGUUUAACACAUAUGUAUUGAACCCUCACUUGUUACAAGAACAGUGAUUGGAAACAGAGAUGUAACUGUAGACCCAAUAAACCAAUUCCCUGUCCUGAUGGCACUUGCAUUCUCUUUAGCACAGGAUAAGAUGGCAGAAAACAGAAAUUAUUCUUAGGAACAAAGAAGGAAGGAAACACAUACCGAAUUCACAACUUCAUUUUCCUCAACAAACAAUUGUGCUAAUGCAUGGGAUAGCACUAAUAGCUCAAUAACCACCAUUGGAUAAUGAGGCAAAACAUUUAUUGAGACUGGAAGUGUCAACACAGGCAUAAUCUACUAAGAUGUUAAUUGUUGAUGGACAUUUGCUGCUUCAUAGAGAUUCACCUUGUCACCCACACAAAUGUCAUCUGCUACAGCUUGCAAAUUUCCAUUCAGGCAGGGAUUACUUCUAAACCAGGCUGCACAACUCGUUGUAGAGUAAUUAAUAAAUAUUCAUGAUGCUGAUAUUGCUGCCAAUGAUGACAAAUCUUGUACAUUAGAAAGAGUAUUAUAAAGAUAAGGAUAUUAAUCUUAUAAGAUAAAGGCAUUCUAAAAUUGGUUCCAAUAUCCCAGGAGCCUUUGAAUACUACAGCAUAGACACAUGUAUUUGGUACUUAUACCUCUGGGAAAUAUGGAGUCAUGCUCCAGCAAGUAUUUUUAUAAGUUUAUAACUUAAAUAUUUAUUUACAGAUCAUAUAUACUUUCAAUACAUAACACAGUUUCUAUAUAAGCACUUGGAAUUGUUAUUCUCCCACUCAUGGCUGCACAUUAAAUCUAGAUUUGAUUUUCAUUUUGGACUCUGCAAAAAUACUUUAGUUUAAAUCUCUUUGUAUUUACUAUCAUUGUUUUCCCCAUCCAGAUACACACACUUGUCCACACCAAUAUUUACUGGGCCAUGGGCACACAGUGGUGAGGGUUACAGAUAAUGCCAACUUUCAUCGAUUUUUCAAACUCCUGGGAAAGACAACAAAUAGGUAAACAACAGUGCAUAAAGUAACUGCAAACUGAGGCUCUGUGAGAAACAUUCAGGGUGUUGUGAUAAAAUUUGGCAGGAAAGGCCACUUCGAGGAAUUAAAUAAUUAAGAUCUGAGAAAGAAAAAUAGAUCCAUCAUGUGAAGAAAUACGGGGAGAAAACUUAGAUGGAAAAAAAAGAUCCUGCACAAAAGCCUUAGGAAGAAAAAGAGGGUGAGGUGGAGAGAAGAUGGAAAAUGUACAAGCUGGUAGGAUACAGUGGAGGACAUAAAAUGAUGCUGGGAUCUCUGCUACUCUUCCUGAAAUCAGGGCUGAGAUGAUCAUGGGCAGCAGGGAGGCUGGUACAGUGCCUGCCCAGCCUUAGUGGAGCCUAACAGAGAACAUCUUCUAAAAGACAAGUGCAAUAGGUUGCUUCCCAAACAAGUCACUGAAUAAUUCAGAAAGGGAUAGAUCGGAGAGUUGCAGGUUGUUUCCUACCAAUUUUAUUCAUUUCAAUUCACACUGUUCCCUGGGCUUGUUUAAAAACAGGAAAUACGUCGAGUACUUUGAAUUUGAGAAAUUUCCAAAACACAAGUAAGUCAGUAUUAUGUUCACACCAUGUUUUCUGAUGCUUAAGAUAUUCUUACCAACUUGGUGCUAGGUAAACACAAAAUUAGUUAUUGAUGCUAAUAAGCAAAACCCCAAUAAUGCAUCUUUUUAAAAGACAGACUUUUUAAAAUUAAUUUUAUGUAGCACAUCUUAGAGAAUGUGUGUUCAAUAAUAACAACAAAAGUUACGAAUCCACAAAUUUCUUUUACAUAGACAUUUUGGUGGGCAAAA